AACGAACGCUGGCGGCAUGCCUAACACAUGCAAGUCGAACGAGACCUUCGGGUCUAGUGGCGCACGGGUGCGUAACGCGUGGGAACCUGCCCUUAGGUUCGGAAUAACUCCCCGAAAGGGGUGCUAAUACCGGAUAAUGUCUUCGGACCAAAGAUUUAUCGCCUUUGGAUGGGCCCGCGUUGGAUUAGCUAGUUGGUAGGGUAAAAGCAUACCACGGCUACGAUGCAUAGCUGGUCUGAGUGGGUGAUCAGCCACACUGGGACUGAGACACGGCCCAGACACUGACGGUAGGCAGCAGUAGGGAAUCUUACGCGAUGGGGGAAUGGGGGACGGAGGAAAGUCGCGUGAGUGAUGAAGGACUUCUGAUCGGAAAACGCUGAUAGUAGUGGGGAACAAAUGUGUAAGUAACCGUGCAGAUCAUGACGGUACCUAAUGAGAAAGCCACGGCUAACUACGUG
rnacentral:rRNA from 1 species